CCUACGGGGCGCAGCAGUCGAGAAUCAUUCACAAUGGGGGAAACCCUGAUGGUGCGACGCCGCGUGGGGGAAUGAAGGUCUUCGGAUUGUAAACCCCUGUCAUGUGGGAGCAAAUUAAAAAGAUCGUACCCCAAGAGGAAGAGACGGCUAACUCUGUGCCAGCAGCCGCGGUAAUACAGAGGUCUCAAGCGUUGUUCGGAAUCACUGGGCGUAAAGCGUGCGUAGGCUGUUUCGUAAGUCGUGUGUGAAAGGCGCGGGCUCAACCCGCGGACGGCACAUGAUACUGCGAGACUAGAGUAAUGGAGGGGGAACCGGAAUUCUCGGUGUAGCAGUGAAAUGCGUAGAUAUCGAGAGGAACACUCGUGGCGAAGGCGGGUUCCUGGACAGUAACUGACGCUGAGGCACGAAGGCCAGGGGAGCGAAAGGGAUUAGAUACCCGAGUAGUC
rnacentral:rRNA from 1 species